CAUGCAAGUCGAACGAUGAACCACUUCGGUGGGGAUUAGUGGCGAACGGGUGAGUAACACGUGGGCAAUCUGCCCUUCACUCUGGGACAAGCCCUGGAAACGGGGUCUAAUACCGGAUAUCACUUCCGCAGGCAUCUGCGGGGGUCGAAAGCUCCGGCGGUGAAGGAUGAGCCCGCGGCCUAUCAGCUUGUUGGUGAGGUAACGGCUCACCAAGGCGACGACGGGUAGCCGGCCUGAGAGGGCGACCGGCCACACUGGGACUGAGACACGGCCCAGACUCCUACGGGAGGCAGCAGUGGGGAAUAUUGCACAAUGGGCGAAAGCCUGAUGCAGCGACGCCGCGUGAGGGAUGACGGCCUUCGGGUUGUAAACCUCUUUCAGCAGGGAAGAAGCGAAAGUGACGGUACCUGCAGAAGAAGCGCCGGCUAACUACGUGCCAGCAGCCGCGGUAAUACGUAGGGCGCAAGCGUUGUCCGGAAUUAUUGGGCGUAAAGAGCUCGUAGGCGGCUUGUCACGUCGGGUGUGAAAGCCCGGGGCUUAACCCCGGGUCUGCAUUCGAUACGGGCUAGCUAGAGUGUGGUAGGGGAGAUCGGAAUUCCUGGUGUAGCGGUGAAAUGCGCAGAUAUCAGGAGGAACACCGGUGGCGAAGGCGGAUCUCUGGGCCAUUACUGACGCUGAGGAGCGAAAGCGUGGGGAGCGAACAGGAUUAGAUACCCU
rnacentral:rRNA from 1 species